UACAGAGGUGGCAAGCGUUGUUCGGAAUUACUGGGCGUAAAGGGCGCGUAGGCGGCCAUCUAAGUCAGACGUGAAAUCCCCCGGCUUAACCUGGGAACUGCGUCUGAUACUGGACGGCUUGAGUAUGGGAGAGGGAUGUAGAAUUCCAGGUGUAGCGGUGAAAUGCGUAGAUAUCUGGAGGAACACCGGUGGCGAAGGCGGCAUCCUGGACCGGUAUUGACGCUGAGGCGCGAAAGCCAGGGGAGCAAACGGG
rnacentral:rRNA from 1 species